UCGCUACUACCGACUGCAUGCAUUCUUGAGUUGCAAGGAAUUUGCUGAUGGGGUGGGUUUCCACUCUGCCAAUAAAUGAAUUGUCGCAAAAGUGUGCUUGUGGAGGAAGUAA
rnacentral:rRNA from 1 species